GAUGAACGCUGACAGAAUGCUUAACACAUGCAAGUCGAUUCAAGUUACCUUCGGGUAAUGAGGAUGGCGGACGGGUGAGUAACGCGUAAGGAACUUGCCUCUUGGUCUGGGACAACUGUUGGAAACGACAGCUAAUACCGGAUAUUAUGAGAUUCUCGCAUGGGAAACUUAUGAAAGCUAUAUGCGCCAAGAGAGAGCCUUGCGUUCCAUUAGCUAGUUGGUGGGGUAACGGCCCACCAAGGCGACGAUGGAUAGCCGGCCUGAGAGGGUGAACGGCCACAAGGGGACUGAGACACGGCCCUUACUCCUACGGGAGGCAGCAGUGGGGAAUAUUGGACAAUGGGCCACAAGCCUGAUCCAGCAAUUCUGUGUGCACGAUGAAGGUCUUCGGAUUGUAAAGUGCUUUCAGUUGGGAAGAAGAAAGUGACGGUACCAACAGAAGAAGCGACGGCUAAAUACGUGCCAGCAGCCGCGGUAAUACGUAUGUCGCAAGCGUUAUCCGGAUUUAUUGGGCGUAAAGCGCGUCUAGGCGGAAAAAUAAGUCUGAUGUUAAAAUGCGGGGCUCAACUCCGUAUUGCGUUGGAAACUGUUUUUCUAGAGUACUGGAGAGGUGGGCGGAACUACAAGUGUAGAGGUGAAAUUCGUAGAUAUUUGUAGGAAUGCCGAUGGAGAAGUCAGCUCACUGGNCAGAUACUGACGCUGAA
rnacentral:rRNA from 1 species